rnacentral:rRNA from 1 species
GACGAACGCUGGCGGCGUGCCUAAUACAUGCAAGUAGAACGCAGUUGCGUACGGGUGAGCAACGCGUAGGUAACUGCAUAUUAGAGGGGAAUAACUAUUGGAGCCGAUAGCUAAUACCGCAUACUCGUAGAUGGACCUGCGUUGUAUUAGCUAGUAGGUAGGGUAAUGGCCUACCUAGGCAACGUUACCUAGCCGACUCGGGAGGGUGGACGACCAAAACGGAACUGAGACAAGGCCCAGACUCCCACCGGAGGCAGAAGUAGGGAAAUAUCGGAAAGGGGGGGCAAGCUGACUGAGGAACGGCGCGGGAGUGAAAGAAGUCCUAGGAGUGUAAAAGUACGUUGUUAAAGGAGCGGUACUUGCCGAGAAAGGAACGGCUAACUACGUGCCAGCAGCCGCGGUAAUAC